GAUAUAAUGAAUAUGAGAAGAAUGAAUCUGAUGCUGUGAAAGUGCUGGAUUGAGGAGAGCUACUAAAGAUCAACAAGAGCUGCUCAAAUCUGACAGUAGUGCAGGUUAUUGGCUGAAGUGUGGAGGUGAUGAGCUUUGAUUUCUGUUUUCUGUAGAGUUUCCAGUCUCUCUCAGCUCCUCCUGAAUCUACAGAUGUAAAUGACGAUCCCUUCAGUUCUCUCUCCUCUUUUGAUGGCGUGAGAGAAUCUGUCCUUCAGCUGAGAGACAAACUGGAGGAUUUCUGCAAAGAGGAGCUGAAGAAGAUCUCUGACAGAGUCACUUUCACCAACAUUGUUCCCAGAACCAGGAACGACUUCCUACAAUAUUCCCAUCAGUUCACUCCGGAUCUGAACUCAGUGAAUAAAUGCCUCCGUCUGUCUGAGAGGAACAGAGUGAUUACAUUCACUAACACACUCCAGCCGUAUCCUGAUCAUCAAGACAGAUUUGAUGGAUAUAAUCUUCAGGUGUUGUGUAGAGAGAGUGUGUGUGGACGCUGUUACUGGGAGAGCAUCAGCAAGAAGGAAGGGGUUAAUGAGCGUUUGUUUGGACGUAACAAUCAGUCCUGAGGGCUGUUUCAUAAAACAACAUUAGAAAACAAGCCAGGCUUAUUUUACUUAGUCAGACUUGUUGUCAGCGAAUUCUGUUUCAUAAAGCAAACUUAA